rnacentral:rRNA from 1 species
GAUGAACGCUGACAGAAUGCUUAACACAUGCAAGUCAACUUGAACUUCGGUUUGGGUGGCGGACGGGUGAGUAACGCGUAAAGAACUUGCCUCACAGAUAGGGACAAUAUUUGGAAACGAAUGCUAAUACCUGAUAUUAUAAUUUUAGGGCAUCCUAGGAUUAUGAAAGCUAUAUGCGCUGUGAGAGAGCUUUGCGUCCCAUUAGCUAGUUGGAGAGGUAACGGCUCACCAAGGCGAUGAUGGGUAGCCGGCCUGAGAGGGUGAUCGGCCACAAGGGGACUGAGACACGGCCCUUACUCCUACGGGAGGCAGCAGUGGGGAAUAUUGGACAAUGGACCAAGAGUCUGAUCCAGCAAUUCUGUGUGCACGAUGAAGUUUUUCGGAAUGUAAAGUGCUUUUCAGUUGGGAAGAAAAAAAUGACAGUACCAACAGAAGAAGUGACGGCUAAC